GAGCCCUAAAUGUUUUUUUGUUUGACAUUCAUGCUUAACAGAAAAUGAUGAAUCCAUUAGCAACUCCUUCCGUUGCCAAAAGAAACAGACUUGCACUUGUAGAUUGCUUUCAUUCUGUGCUAUCAAGCCACUGCAUGUGCUGCUUUCACAAAGCUGACAGUCAUCUAUCAUUUUUAAAUGGGUUUAGAGGUGCAGUUGUCUUUGUCUGAAGUGUGUGGAUGUGUCAGCGUGAAUGCGACUCAUUAAAACAGGCUGACCCAAACAGUUUAAAUAGGAUUCACAGUAGGGGGAAAAUGUUUUAUUUGAGGUUUGUUUGGAAUUAUUUUGAAGUUUGUCACUAAUUUUGAAAAACAAUGGGCUCAUUUUCCCAACUUCUUUUUCUUCCCUGAGAUGUGUUCCAGAGAACAAAUAGCUAUAUUAUACACUGUCUCGAAAACAUGCUCUUUUGGAAAUGAAGAAAGAUUCUAUGAUUGUGAAAUUUCAAGAGUUCCCUUGUGCUCUAGAACAUUUCACAUACUUAAAUGACUUCAUGCAGCCCCCAAGUUUCUCCCGCUCUCCUCAGCCCCUGACCCCCAACCCAUAAAUGACAUCUUUGAACAUCAUCUUUAGACCCUUUUUUCGUCUUUUCGAUUAGCCUCUCAAAGAACAUCUUUUGUAGUCAAUGAUUUAACAUAUGGAUUAAAUCUUAAAUAAAAUGAGUUUAAAUAUUAACAGGAAAGCACCUGGCUGUAUGCAUCUGGGUUCCAUAGGACAUUAUUUUGUUUUAAAUGCCUCAAGAUGUUCAAUAAAAUUGAACAUUGACAAACUCAUCCCCAGUGUGAGCCCGUGGACCUUCAACUUGUUUUCCAGUGGCUCUCUUCUUUCUCUUCUCUCAUCCCACACUAAUAUUAAGUUCCUAAAGCAACAAUGAAAGGGCAAAUCGCAAAAAUUAAGAUCCAAGAAGAUCUGGAAAUAGCAAUGAAGGAGAAAGUAAUUUGUCAAGACUUUCAGGGCAACUAGUAGGGUUGAUCUCUUGCGUUUUAUAUGUGGUCACAGAGGGAGGUAUUUGAAAUAUUUAACACCUAUAAGUCCUGAGCACAGCCGAUCAAAAUUGUUACCAGAGUAGGGCAAGCAUUAAUUUAACCCUUAUGCUGCUGGAUGCAGGAGAUUCCAGGACUCACAGUGUUGACUUCAAGGAGGCUGGGCAGUCGGUGGGAGUAGGUGGGGGCUGAGGGUAGUUGCUAUUUAUCAACCAGCAGAGAAGUAUUUCAGUAUUUUAAUACUUCACUAUACCAGUGUGUAUUGGCUGAAUUCCAGCCCUGUUUUUUAUUAUCUCUUAUUCUUCAUUGCACAGAUUCCUAGGAAUUGAGGAAACAAAAGCAGGCAUACCCCAUUAUGUUUUGACAUUGUCCUAUCAUCCACCACUUCUUUCUGUACAACUCCAAAUCAACCAAGCACCUACAAAGGUACAAAGUGCUGUUCACACUGCUCGCACAAGAAUGAAUGUUGUUGAAAGUGAGGGAUGAGGAUUAAACCAUAAGAAAAGGGUGAUAUAGUAAAUAUGGUAUUAUAAAAAACAUUUUAAAAUACAAAUAAUUUCUUAUCUUCACCCCAUUUUACCCAAAGGGCUUCUAGAUUUUUCACACUGCAAAGCCCACUAUAGAAUAAAAUAUGCAGGAUAUGUAUUUAAAUCAUGUCACAUGCUUCCUUUAAGGAACUAAAAUGAUUUCAUGUAAAUUAACCCAUUCAUUCAUUCCUUACCACUACCACUCCCAAAAAAGGUAAACUCAAGGCAAGUCUUAUAAUAUGCAUUUUGUAAGUGAAGAAAUUUAAGCAAGUCUCAAGACCCUAAGUCUUGAACCAACCGAAGACCAGUUCAACUCAAGUCUCUUGCAUCCAAUACUGCUUCGAUCAAGUUGCCAAAUGGUCUGACAACAAGUAACAUUCAUGUAAGAAGAGGAUGGGGGAAUGUGACAAUUCUGAGACCUCACUCUUUACAGAAGUAUAAUUGGACGUCCCUAGAGUAACUUAAGACACUUCAAAGCUUAAAAUACACAUCAAAUAUAAGGAGGAAAGAGAGGAACGUAUUGCUUUUAUAAAAGAAGCACUGACCAAAAAAAAAACAGUUUCUACUUAAAUGCAAAUAUAAUUAAAAGCAUUUGAUAGAGAAAGAAAGCACAGACCAAAAGAGAGAGACAAAGUACAGAAAGUUGCAUUCCUUCUAAAGUUGCUGUAAGCCAAAUGUGUCUGUUCACAUCCGAUUUUCCCAGGCAAUGUGCUCGAUAGCAGAUUACAUUUCCAAUCAAAAUCGCAAUACUCAAGUCCAAAAUAUUUUAAACAAUUAAUAUGCUACAUAUAAUUAGAGACUCAUAAAUACAUAUGAGUUCCAUAUAUGUAAACAAACAUACACUUCAUAAAGAUUCAAAAGGACUGAAACUGUAAAGUCUCAUGCAUUCUAUUUAAUAACAGAUUAAAUACAGGCUUUGGAGUCAGACUGCCCAAGUGUGUAUUCCAGUGUUUCCACUUUGUGGCUGUAUAACUUUUGACAGAUUACUCCCUCUGGCCUUUGCUUAUAAAAUGAAGAUAUUAGGUCACCUGAGUGGCUCAGUCAAACAACUGAUUUCGAUUUCAGCUCAGGUAACGAUCUCAUGAUUCAUGGGAUCGACUGUGCUGACAGCGGUGAAGCCUGCUUCGGAUUCUCUCUCUCUCCCUCUCUCUCUGCCUCUCUCUUUCUCAAAAUAAAUAAAUAAAUUUAAAAUAAAAUAAAAUAUAAAAUAAAGUGGAUAUAUUAACACCAUAUGGUGAAGUGUAAGGAUUAAAUAUGUUUGUCAACUGUUAACAGAAUGACUGGUGGAGAGUAGAUAUUUGGGUACCUCCCUCUCAUGGACAAAUCCUCCUCUUUUUCAGUGAACAUUUCCCUUUAGCAAUCAAAGACAUUAAUGAUGGAAUUACUGGUCCUUCUGUUGCAAAGUUGGAAUUUCCUCAAAAACAAUGCCAAUGCAGUUUCGGGAAUACGUGGCCCCUGCUCCUGGUCCUAAGCAGCCCUCAAGUUUUUCUUCAUCCUAGACUGUCUGCCUAGUUCCCACUCUCCUAUUUUCUGAUCACCCCAGGACUUGGGCCACUGCUGCCACCUCUCUGAUCACCUGGGUUCUCUUUCAGGUGGUAGAGAGAGAUCCCAAGCCCUCUGUAGAAGCAGGUACAAGCUACCCAAAUUCUCCUCCCUUUAUUCAUGCAUCUUAAAAAAAUGACUUUUUUGUUUGUUUGUUUGUUUGUUUGUUUACAGUGAGAAAUACAAGGAAAGUUGGGGAAGAAAAUUGUCAAAUAAGGAACAAUUAUUUAUAAAAU
rnacentral:lncRNA from 1 species